UACGUAGGUGGCAAGCGUUGUCCGGAUUUACUGGGCGUAAAGGGCGUGCAGGCGGUCUGUUAAGUCUAGGGUGAAAGCUCCCGGCUCAACUGGGAGAGGUCCUUGGAUACUGGCGGACUUGAGGGAUGCAGAGGAAAGUGGAAUUCCCGGUGUAGUGGUGAUAUGCGUAGAUAUCGGGAGGAACACCAGUGGCGAAGGCGGCUUUCUGGGCAUUUCCUGACGCUGAGCACGAGACGUGGGGAGCAAACGG
rnacentral:rRNA from 1 species